rnacentral:rRNA from 1 species
AUUGAACGCUGGCGGCAUGCUUUACACAUGCCAGUCGAACGGUAACAGGCCUUCGGGUGCUGACGAGUGGCGAACGGGUGAGUAAUGCAUCGGAACGUACCCAGAGGUGGGGGAUAACGCAGCGAAAGCUGUGCUAAUACCGCAUGUGAUCUGAGGAUGAAAGCGGGGGACCGAGCAGCAAUGUUUGGCCUCGCGCCUUUGGAGCGGCCGAUGUCGGAUUAGCUAGUUGGUGGGGUAAAGGCCUACCAAGGCGACGAUCCGUAGCUGGUCUGAGAGGACGACCAGCCACACUGAGACUGAGACACGGCCCAGACUCCUACGGGAGGCAGCAGUGGGGAAUUUUGGACAAUGGGCGCAAGCCUGAUCCAGCAAUGCCGCGUGCGGGAAGAAGGCCUUCGGGUUGUAAACCGCUUUUGGCAGGAACGAAACGGUGUCCGCUAAUACCGGGCGCUAAUGACGGUACCUGCAGAAUAAGCACCGGCUAACUACGUG